GAGAGGAGGCGGGGCCUGGCACGCUCUUUAACCUGAUCCCGGUCGGGCUCCGCGUCGUCGCCAUCCAGGGCACCCGCGCCGGGCGCUACGUGGCCAUGAACGGCGCCGGCGUCGUCUACGCCUCUGUGCAUUUCACGCCCGAGUGCCGCUUCAAGGAGUGCCCUGGGUGUAUCCAG